rnacentral:misc_RNA from 1 species
GAUGAAGAACGUAGUGAAAUGCGAUACGUAAUGUGAAUUGCAGAAUUCAGUGAAUCAUCGAGUCUUUGAACGCGCAUUGCGCCCUCUGGUAUUCCGGAGGGCAUGCCUGUCCGAGCGUCAUUGCUGCCCUCAAGCACGGCUUGUGUGUUGGGCUCCGUCCCCCGAUCCCGGGGGACGGGCCCGAAAGGCAGCGGCGGCACCGCGUCCGGUCCUCGAGCGUAUGGGGCUUUGUCACCCGCGCUGUAGGCCCGGCCGGCGCUUGCCGAUCAACCAAAUUUUUAUCCAGGUUGACCUCGGAUCAGGUAGGGAUACCCGCUGAACUUAAGCAUAUCAAUAAGCGGAGGA